GACGAACGCUGGCGGCGUGCUUAACACAUGCAAGUCGAACGGAAAGGCCUGCUUUCCCUUGUGGAUUGCGGGUACUCGAGUGGCGAACGGGUGAGUAACACGUGAGUGAUCUGCCCCCAACUUGGGUAUAAGCCUGGGAAACUGGGUCUAAUUCCCGAUAGGACUGCAGGGUGGUGCCUGUGGUGGAAAACGAUUUUCUAGUGGUUGGGGAUGAGCUCGCGGCCUAUCAGCUUGUUGGUGGGGUAAAGGCCUACCAAGGCGGCGACGGGUAGCCGGCCUGGGAGGGUGGACAGCCACGUUGGGACAGAGCUACGGCCCGGACUCGUACGGGAGGCAGCAGUGGGGAGUAGUGCACCAUGGGCGGAAGCCUGAUGCAGCGACGCCGCGUGGGGGAUGACGGCCUUCGGGUUGUAAGCUCCUUUCGACCGCGAGGAAGCCACCUGGUUGGAAGGGUGGUGACGGUAGUAGUAGAAGAAGCACCGGCUAACUACGUG
rnacentral:rRNA from 1 species